rnacentral:misc_RNA from 1 species
CACGUUCUCUAGAAUGUGCUAGAAUUUUUUUUGAGACGUAUUUAAUAUAAGUAUUAUAACUAAAUGCGUACUAGUCAUUUACAAACAUCGCAGUAGUUCAAGAAGCUGCAGUAUAUAAUUGGAACUUGUGUAUGAUUUUGUCCGUUUAAAUUAAAAUAAAACGAUAAAAGAAAUGUCACAUGAAACAACUUUGUUACAUUGUUAUAAUCGUGGUUGUGGUAAGAAGUUUGAUCCGAAUGAUAAUAAAGAAGGAGAUUGCAUUCAUCACCCUGGUCAUCCGGUAUUUCAUGAUGCUUAUAAAGGCUGGUCCUGUUGUAACAAAAAAUGUACAGAUUUCACAGAAUUCUUGAAUAUCAAAGGAUGUACAAAAUCUUGUCACUCAAAUGUCAAACCACCUGAGCCAGAGAAACCUGCUGUUGACAAAUCGAAGACUAACGAAAUAAUUGAAGUAACUGCUCAGCCUCUCAAUAAUGGACCUGUGUUGGAAAGGCCUCCUUUUGAUGCUCCACAAGUUACAUUAAAACCUACUGUGUCACCUACAUUAUUAGAACAAAUUAAAGGAUUAACUUCUUCUAUAUCAGAAAUUCUACCACAAACAAAAGUUCAAAUUGGACAAAGCUGUAAAAACAAUGCAUGUAAAGCUACGUACAAUGGCCCAGCAUCUGAUGAUGAAGUGUGCAAUCAUCAUCCUGGUAUUCCUAUUUUUCAUGAAGGAAUGAAAUAUUGGUCUUGUUGUCAAAAGAAAACUACAGACUUUUCCACAUUCUUAGAACAACCAGGAUGUUUGCAAGGAAAACAUAAAUGGAUUUCUGAGAAUACUGGUAAAAAAGUUAACUGUAGAAUGGAUUGGCAUCAAACUGGAACAUUGAUUGUAGUUUCUAUUUAUGCAAAGAAAUACCAGCCAGACCAAUCAACUAUUAAAUUAAAUCCUAUACGUUUAACUGUGGAUCUAUAUUUUAUUGAAGAAAACUCUAGAUAUAAUCUCGAUUUAGAACUUAGAGGAGUUGUUGAUAUUACACAAAGCAGUGUAAAUAUGCUUCCAACUAAAGUAGAAAUUAAAUUAAAAAAAGCUGAAUCUGGAUCAUGGGCAAAAUUAAAUAUUCCUAGAACAAACGAGAUAGAAACAGAAGAAAAUGACAAAACUGAUGAAAACAUUAGCGCACAAGUUGAAGCAGUUGAUCUUAGCGAUCUUUAAGUGUUCAUAUUUAAUUAUUUUAUUAUAAAUAUUAUAAAACAUGAAUAUAUUAUCUAUUUAAAGAUGAUACUUUCAUUUGAAGAUACUUGCUCUUCAUGGAUAUGCUCAAUCGGAUAUUACUUUUAAAUCAAAAUUAGGUUCUUUGAGAAA